rnacentral:rRNA from 1 species
GUGGGGAAUAUUGGGCAAUGGGCGCAAGCCCGACCCAGCAACGCCGCGUGAGGGAAGAAGGCUUUCGGGUUGUAAACCUCUGUCCUUGGUGACGAAAAAAAUGACGGUAGCCAAGGAGGAAGCCCCGGCUAACUACGUGCCAGCAGCCGCGGUAAUACGUAGGGGGCGAGCGUUGUCCGGAAUUACUGGGCGUAAAGGGUGCGUAGGUGGCCUUUUAAGUUGGAUGUGAAAUACCCGGGCUUAACUUGGGGGGUGCAUCCAAAACUGGGAGGCUAGAGUGCAGGAGAGGAAAGCGGAAUUCCUAGUGUAGCGGUGAAAUGCGUAGAUAUUAGGAGGAACACCAGUGGCGAAGGCGGCUUUCUGGACUGUAACUGACACUGAGGCACGAAAGCGUGGGGAGCAAACAGGAUUAGAUACCCUUGUAGUCC